GCAGGAUGUGGAUCAGAACUCUCAACAU
rnacentral:piRNA from 1 species